rnacentral:rRNA from 1 species
CCCUUAGAUGUUCUGGGCUGCACGCGUGCUACACUGAUAUUGCCAAUAUGUCAUUCUUAUCCGAAAUGGAUUGGGUAAUCAAGUAAUGAAAUUUCAUGCUUGGAAUCGGUAAUUGCAAUUUUAUCGUGAACGAGGAAUUCCUAGUAAGCACUAGUCAUCAGCUAAUGUUGAUUAUGUCCCUGUCCUUUGUACACACCGCCCGUCGCUACUACUGAUUGGGUGUUCAAGUGAGAUGCUUAGACCCUUGUUGCAUGGUUCAUUAUUGUGCUCCGAAAGGAAAAAGUUUCAAGCUUGAGUGUCUAGAGGAAGUAAAAGUCGUAACA